rnacentral:tRNA from 1 species
AAUGGAUAAUUCCUCUUUAGA